AUUGAACGCUGGCGGCAGGCCUAACACAUGCAAGUCGAACGGUAACAGGAAGCAGCUUGCUGCUUCGCUGACGAGUGGCGGACGGGUGAGUAAUGUCUGGGAAGCUGCCUGAUGGAGGGGGAUAACUACUGGAAACGGUAGCUAAUACCGCAUAAUGUCGCAAGACCAAAGAGGGGGACCUUCGGGCCUCUUGCCAUCGGAUGUGCCCAGAUGGGAUUAGCUUGUUGGUGGGGUAACGGCUCACCAAGGCGACGAUCCCUAGCUGGUCUGAGAGGAUGACCAGCCACACUGGAACUGAGACACGGUCCAGACUCCUACGGGAGGCAGCAGUGGGGAAUAUUGCACAAUGGGCGCAAGCCUGAUGCAGCCAUGCCGCGUGUAUGAAGAAGGCCUUCGGGUUGUAAAGUACUUUCAGCGGGGAGGAAGGGAGUAAAGUUAAUACCUUUGCUCAUUGACGUUACCCGCAGAAGAGGCACCGGCUAACUCCG
rnacentral:rRNA from 1 species